rnacentral:tRNA from 1 species
AAUUAAUGAGCUUGUUUUAUAAGCAUUUGUUUUGAAAACUUAAGAAAGAGCUAUCUACUCUAUUAAUUU